CGCGCGCAUGCGCUGCGGGGCCUCACCUGGGGGCCUCGCCUAGGGGCAGCUCCACGGGCUCUCUGGGCCCCGCUAGAGGCUGGAGCUCGGGUUCGAGAGCCGGAAGAGCGGAGGCUGGAGAAGCCCGUGCCGGUGUUCACCUCUCGGCUGGCUCUGGGCCGGCAGGUUACCUGACUCCCUAUCCUAAGUGUCUAUAACUAGAUUAAAACACUUUUGCAUCACUCUGAAAAAGAGCUCUCUUCUGGGAAACAGUGAUGUUUUAAUGAGCAGCAGUAUGUCAAGAUCUGGACAACAGGUUACUGACAAGUCUCCUUUUAAAAUAAGCAUCACUACUGGGAUGUGCGUCAUGGUGCAAAUUAUUAAGUCAGCUGGUGAGUGAAAAAUGAACCCAUUUCAAAUUUUUAUUUUGAUAACCUUGCUUAACUUUUGUUGCUGAAAAUACUCACAUGAUGAUAGUAUAGAUGGCAAAGAUAAUCGC
rnacentral:lncRNA from 1 species